GCCGCGGUAGCUCAGUGGUAGAGCGCGUCAUUGGUAAUGACGAGGUCG
rnacentral:tRNA from 1 species